AUGAUUUCCCCAUGUGAUGAUUUGCCCAUUUAUGAUGAAUAUGAUGAUUCUCAUGUGGAAUCUAUUAGUAGUGAUGCCAUGUUACAUAGGAUUUCUUGUGACAAUUCUUUAGGUCACAUCAUGUUUGCUAAUCCGCUUGAUUUGUCAUAUGCUAUGCAUGAGAUCAAUCAUAUGUCUUAUUUGCAAUCUCUUCAUAGUGACUAUGCAUAUGCCAUUAAAAUGAACCCAAUUUGCACAUAUGGCAUAGAUGACAAGCCCAUGGUUAUUGGCAUUUGUUUUUCUUGUGAUGAUAUUGAUAUGCUCCCAUUGCAUCAUUUAUCUCAUAUGCCAUGCCAUGACCACCUAGCUUCGGAUAUGCAUUGUUUUGGAUGUUGUCCAUUUUCUCCAUAUGAUAUUUCCGCUAUUGCUCAUGAGGAGGCCCCCAUAGUUUCCUCGUGCAUUGUAGGAGAUUUUGAUCCAUCCCAUUCAUUGCAUGAUCCAAAUACUUGUGUGCACCAUAUGCUCCCCAUGAAUAAACAUGCUAGUGAUGUGCCAUAUACUCGCAUUCUCAAUUUGUGUCCCCAUCGUGUCAUACAUAAUAACUAUUCUUUCAUGAUGGAUGACAUAUUCUUAUACCAUGCAUCAAAUUUCUUUGAGCGAUGCUUAUCUUGUGCUAACUCACAUGUGCACACACACAUCAUGAUGGAUGAUGUGUACAUUUACCACGCGCACAAUUUCUUUGGUUUUUGUCUCCUUUGUGUAGGUACCCAUGAAUACUUGUCAACCUCGCAAUCCCACGAGUUGACAAAACGAGCUCUAGAGAGCAAUGAUGCCUUGGGAUCCCAUGGAUUGUCUUUCCCACCGCUCUCUUCGCGCAAAGACGUCGUGCAUUCAUUCUACAUGGCCCUCACUUGGCUAUGGGUUAUUGUUCAUUACAUAUCAUAUGCCCAUCUUGCCAUGUUCACUUUGCAUGAUAUGCUCAUUCAUAUGCCUUUGACAUGCAUUUGUGACCCAUGCUUUGCAUUACACAUGAUGAUUGAUUCUAGUACUUGUAUGUGUAUUUGCAAGCUUGGUGGAGAUAUUGCUUGUUCUUGCCAUGUUCCUUUUGUGCACCAUUCCUAUGAUGACACUUUCAUCUUGCUUUGUGUUCGUGCUUGCGAUAUGUCAUGUGCAUUGUCUAUGCCUACUAUUUGCUCACAUGAUAUGAUUGCCAUGAUUUACUCUAGUGUGUUGCAUCUUCGCUCCACUAGUUUACACGAUUUGAUUACUAUGUUUGCUUAUAUUGCAUCACCCAUGAUUCAUACUUGCUCAUCUCAUGCGGUUGAUGACAACCAUCUAUAUGCUUUGCAUAUGACUCAUAUUGCUUCUUGUCAUAUAUCUCCGUGUGUUGCCUCUCUCAUGCUAGAUUUGCCAUGUAUUGAAUGCAACCAUGCUAUUAGUCUUGCUCGUGAGUUUGCCCCCAUAGCAUUCUCACAUAUGUUUGGAGAUUUGGACAUAUUACUUGUGAAGCAUGUUUGUCUUACUUCUUUGCACCAUAUACCUAGUGCCAUGAAUAUUGCCAUUGUUGCAUCAUAUUAUUCAUGCACUUGUGCUUCUAAUCAUUAUGUGCACAAGAUGAGAACCAUCAUGAUGGAUGAUGUGUUUAUCUACCAUGCGCAUACAUUCUUUGUAUUGUUUUGCACAUGUGUAGGAUACUUGGACUUUGUGUCGACUUCCACUUCACGUGAGUUGACCAUUCGAGUUCUUGAGAGCGAGCCUCACACAUUCUACCACGACUCGCUUCUACACCACAUUUCCUACCACUUCGGCAUUGUGAAGAAUGCACAAGGACACGCUUUCAAGGUGACAUCCUUCUUGACCUUGGAUAUUGUGGAUCAUACUUCAUGUGUUGCUUGCACCAUUUGCACACAUGGUCGAGAUAUUUCUUUCACCCAUGAUGGCCACAUUUCCGUUCUUCAUGACAUAUGUACCUUGUGUGUUGCAUCCAAUUCUUGGACUACUUGCUACUAUCAUAUGGUUGGUUGCACCAAUGUCAUUUCUUCACAUAUGCCAUGUCCCUUUGCUUGUCACAUGAUUCACUUGAUUGCCUCACACAUGAUGAACAAUUGCUCUUCCUAUUAUGUUGAGUGCCACACUAUAUUCACUACACCCUAUGCACAUUAUGCUUGGAUUGUCUUGCACUUGACCCAUGUGUUUAGACAUCUCAUCUUAUUUGGUGUUGUGAAUGAUUCCUAUGCCUACCAUAGACCUUUCAUUGAGCAAUUUGUGAAUGCUUGCAAUGAACUUGAGGUAGAUGCUUAUUCUCUUGUCACACAUAUUUGCAUCACUACCUCACGUUUGCAUACUUGUCCCCAUGAUAUCUUUGAUUGUGCUCAAUUUAUGCGCUUACAUGCCAUGUCACAAUCCUUUGUCACACAAUUUGAUAUGCUUGAUGACGACACUUGUUUGGUGAAUCACCUCUUCAAUGCUUGGUUUUGCACUAACGCUAACCACAUUUGUUUUUCCAAGUGUUUGUUCCAUUUGCUCCUUUUGAAGGAAUCACAAGACGGUGCGACAUUGGAGAGUGCCCAUUUCGAGCUACUAGACGAUGAGUGCUUGGUGAUUGACCACUUCGAUAUGGCACCGCCAUCUCUUUCCCAUGGUGAUUUGGCUUUCGAUCCGAGGUCGGAUCUUUUCCAAGGGGGAGGGGAUGAUGCGGAGCAUCCUACGGUCAUCACCAUGUCAAGAGUCCGUUUGGCAAGUGACACGUGCGACCUCUACUUCUCAUACAUAAAGGUGAAUCUUCUCCUUUACACGUGUUCACUUGACCCCUUCGAGGAUGGUAUACUACUUGACACUCCACUCGAGUGCAUGCAUAGGUAUUGCCGGAGCUUCACGGACGACGAGGAGGAGUACAAGCGCCAAGGAACACCUGCACCAUCCGCGAGGGAAGCAUGGAAGAGAAGGAAGAAGAGGACCCGCUCUGUCUGGAGCGAGCGGUACUACUGCCCACACCAGGCGGUACUACCACUGAAGGCACACCGGCGGUACAACCGCUCGACUACCGCCCAACUACCGGCCCAGCUUCUGUAUUCAAGCGGUGCAAGACCGGUACAGCCCCGGUUCUUCCCCCAGCUGUGA
rnacentral:rRNA from 1 species